GAUUAGAGUAUGAUGAGUAUCUCUCCUUUCCGUCGAUAAUCCGUUAGUACUGCAAUAUACACAGUUGACUGGAAGAAAUCCUCGACCUCAGCAUACAUGAAGCCAUAGCAAGAAGCAGUGAAAGCCACAGCAGAGAUUGGAUGGAGCAUAAUUUUUUCUAUGUAUCGGUGCCUCUAUGGAUGUCAUAUUUAGAUCAGAUGCAGUCUGAGCCUUGUUCUGAAUUUCAAAAUCCCCUUUGACAACACCUGCACAGCUGAGGUAAUGUAAACUUAAAAAUUGAGGACAACCGUCACCAAGAAAAGAUUAUCAAUUCAACUAACCAAUCAAGGGCCUUCUGACUAAGGGUUGAAUUAUAGUGAACACUGCCAUUCAGAGACUUUGAAACAGAUUGAUGAAUGAACCACAUGCAUUAUGUCAGAGGAAUCUAGCUGGAGCACCCAUUUAGCAGCCAGGACACAUAGAUGUACCUGUACAGUUGAUACAGAUAAUCUUAACGGCACAUUUCUAAAUGAUGGCCAAAAAAAUCUAAUAAAGACACUGUCAGUUUAAAACUUUUUGAAAGAAAUCCAGAUCAGAAACAAAGGAUAUUGAUUUUUAAGCUCCAAAUGUAAAAGGGGUUUUAUUGAAACCAAGACCAGGAUACACCCAAGGAUAUUUAAUAUUAGACCCCUUCAACAUAAAAUUUUGAAUUUUAGUUUGCCUAUCUAGUCAAGAACAUGGGUUUUUUGACAUUUGAUACACUUUACAUGUAUAAUGUUAUAUUGACAUUUUUUCAAGAUUUCUUUACUGUAAACUAUUUAUUUCAGCAAAAAGUACA